rnacentral:rRNA from 1 species
AUUGAACGCUGGCGGCAGGCCUAACACAUGCAAGUCGAGCGGAUGAAGGGAGCUUGCUCCUGGAUUCAGCGGCGGACGGGUGAGUGAUGCCUAGGAAUCUGCCUGGUAGUGGGGGAUAACGUCCGGAAACGGGCGCUAAUACCGCAUACGCCCUGAGGGAGAAAGUGGGGGAUCUUCGGACCUCACGCUAUCAGAUGACCCUAGGUCGGAUUAGCUAGUUGGUGGGGUAAAGGCCUACCAAGGCGACGAUCCGUAACUGGUCUGAGAGGAUGAUCAGUCACACUGGAACUGAGACACGGUCCAGACUCCUACGGGAGGCAGCAGUGGGGAAUAUUGGACAAUGGGCGAAAGCCUGAUCCAGCCAUGCCGCGUGUGUGAAGAAGGUCUUCGGAUUGUAAAGCACUUUAAGUUGGGAGGAAGGGCAGUAAGUUAAUACCUUGCUGUUUUGACGGUACCAACAGAAUAAGCACCGGCUAACUUCGUG